rnacentral:rRNA from 1 species
CCUACGGGAGGCUGCAGUGGGGAAUUUUGGGCAAUGGGCGAAAGCCUGACCCAGCAACGCCGCGUGAAGGAUGAAGUCUCUCGGGAUGUAAACUUCGUAAGAAUAGGAAGAAUAAAUGACGGUACUAUUUGUAAGGUCCGGCUAACUACGUGCCAGCAGCCGCGGUAAUACGUAGGGACCAAGCGUUGUUCGGAUUUACUGGGCGUAAAGGGCUCGUAGGCGGCGUGGUAAGUCACUUGUGAAAUCUCCGAGCUUAACUCGGAACGGUCAAGUGAUACUGCUGUGCUAGAGUACAGAAGGGGCAAUCGGAAUUCUUGGUGUAGCGGUGAAAUGCGUAGAUAUCAAGAGGAACACCUGAGGUGAAGACGGGUUGCUGGGCUGAUACUGACGCUGAAAGGCGAAAGCUAGGGUAGCAAACGGGCUUAGAUACCCGGGUAGUC